rnacentral:lncRNA from 1 species
AGACACCAGCUCCGGCGCUGUCGGUUGGGCACGUCUACCUGAACCAGGAGGUGGACCCACUUUGGGUCCCGUCUUCCUGUUGUCAGUCUCUGGAGCCGGGCAGGUGGGCCUCACCCGAAGCAGGUGAGCCUCUUCCUCCUGCCCAAGAGCCCUGCAGAGAUGCCCCAGCACCCAUUUCUUGUGGAAACUCCUCUCAGCUGGGCACCGUGUGGGAGGAGCUGGGAGGUGAGCCCUGGGUGCCAGCCGGGCAAUGGUGGGGGGGAGCUGGGGCCAUGUGGCUCAGGAGAAGAGGGGACCGUGUCCAGCCCCGGCCCCUGGACGGUCUCCGCACGGUUUGCAGGGAACCUGGCCCCGAGUGUGGUGGAGCUUCACCCGUGGGCCCGUUGCAGCCUGUGGCCCCCCGCCCCCCCCCCCCGGUUCCAUGCAGCAAGGGCGCGGCUGAGGAAUCAAUGGAAGCAGGCCAGCUGGCCCCUCUGCAGCGGGGCGGGCGGCCUGCGUCCUCCCCCAGCAGGGAGGGAGGGGAGACGAGGGACUGGAACCCCUCCCCCCACGGCAGGGCUUCACGGUGGUGCCCUCUGCCCUCCCUGCCUCUCUGCAAAUAGGUCCUGCCAACCUCAGAUCCAGGUGAGGACGCCCAGGGCCCAGAGAUUACAUAGGUUUCUAGAGAUUAAAUGGGGGGAAUGUGCCGACACCAGCUCUGUCCGACCCCGAUGUCAGCCUCCAGCCCCUCUGCCCAAGGCCGUCGUGGGCCUUCAGGGACCAAGCCGUUCCCAAAGCCCUGCCCUCCACAGCCCAGCUCGGUGGACAGGGCAGCACCCUCAUCCCUGCCCCUCACGAUGCUCCUGGCCCACCGGGGCCCUUCAGGGGUCCGGAAUGAACAACACACAAAUUCACAAAGAGCGCGGAGGAGCCAGCAGGGCUGAGCAUGCCCGGCACAGUGGGCAAGGGCGCCUGGGGUCCUGUGUCCUCAGACACCUGGGUGGGCUCAGGCAUCCCACGGAGGCCGCCUUGCGGGGAGGUGAGUGUUUGGCCUCCAUAGGAAGCCUCAGUGGGAGGCCCACCUGCCGGCCAGGACAAAGCAUCAGACACACCACUGGGCUCAGACGCCAGGGCCUUGCAACCCCUUGGUGUGGGCAUGUCCUCCAGGCUGGGGCGGCUGACGGCACGUGUCGCCCCUCGGGAGCCCCAGUUCAGGCUCUGAGCGGGACAGCAGUCCCUUGCUCCUCUCAGCUGGGCAGGGGGACUCGAGGUGGACCCAACUCCACAUGCAUCCCUCAUCCCCCUCGAGAAACAGGACGCUGAGGUAUCAGACGACUCCAAGCCCUUCCUGCCCCAGUCCCUGUGAUUUUGUGAUAGUCACCCAUUUUGUGAUUUGGUGAUAGUCUGAACAAUUCGAGCGUGAAAUUCUACCCCUGGACACACAAGUGUCUGCAGGGCCAGUGCCACGGGGAGCCCCCACAUUAGAGCUUCACCCCAUCGCCUCUAAGUGGACGCUGAGGUCUGUAGUGUCACAUAAAGCACCAAUUAAACGUCUCCAGCAAGCCUUGCGUUUUAUCAAUGUGUGACAUUCACUUUCAGUAAACACAGCGCUUUGCUGGUGCAAAUGUACCGGCAGGCGUGCAGCUGGGCGCCGUCCCCCGGCCCUGGAGGACGCUCCCGGGCGCCCCACCCCCACCCUCGCAG